AGGAUGAACGCUGGCGGCGUGCCUAAGACAUGCAAGUCGAGUGGGUUUAGACCCACGGCGAACGGGUGAGUAAUACCUAGGAACUUUCUUUAAGUGGAGCAUAACCCAUAGAAAUGUGGGACAAUCCUCCAUGUGGCAGUAAUGCUAAAGUCGCAAGACGCUUAAAGUGAGGCCUGGGCACCAUCAGCUAGUUGGUAAGGUAAUGGCUUACCAAGGCUAUGACGGUUAGGGGUCCCGAGAGGGAUAACCCCCACACUGGAACUGCGACACGGUCCAGACUCCUACGGGAGGCAGCAGUUUGGAAUUUUGGACAAUGGGCGAAAGCCUGAUCCAGCGACGCCGCGUGGACGAUGAAGGCCUUCGGGUCGUAAAGUCCUUUUGCUCGGGAACAAUAUUUUGAGCGUACCGAGAGAAUAAGAGGUUGCUAACUCUGUGCCAGCAGCCGC
rnacentral:rRNA from 1 species